rnacentral:lncRNA from 1 species
CUUCUUCAGCCAGGGUCAAAACUUUAGUCCUGCGUUCAUAUUUUCCGAGCAACAUGACAGUGUAUAUGCGUGUUUUUAGGAUCGGUUUGUAUCUUUCGGCUUAAAGAAUGAUCGAGAUUUUUUUUCAUGGUAUCUCAAACCACUCUAGACUCUACUCAUCCAUUUGCAUAAAUCUCGAAGUGACCACAAUGUGAUCCAAAGGUUGAUUCAUGCAAAGGAAGGUGAAUCUUUCUUUCACGUGAAAGAUGCAAUCCCUGCCAGGGAGAG